UAUCAAUAAGCGGAGGAAAAGAAACCAACAGGGAUUGCCUUAGUAACGGCGAGUGAAGCGGCAACAGCUCAAAUUUGAAAUCUGGCUUCGGCCCGAGUUGUAAUUUGUAGAGGAUGCUUCUGGCGACGUGCCUUCCGAGUCCCCUGGAACGGGGCGCCGAAGAGGGUGAGAGCCCCGUACGGUUGGACGCCGAGCCUCUGUGAAGCUCCUUCGACGAGUCGAGUAGUUUGGGAAUGCUGCUCUAAAUGGGAGGUAAAUUCCUUCUAAAGCUAAAUACCGGCCAGAGACCGAUAGCGCACAAGUAGAGUGAUCGAAAGAUGAAAAGCACUUUGGAAAGAGGGUUAAAAAGUACGUGAAAUUGCUGAAAGGGAAGCGCUUGCGACCAGACUCGCGCCUGGCGGAUCAUCCAGCGUUCUCGCUGGUGCACUUCGCCUGGCACGGGCCAGCAUCGGUUCGGCGGGGGGGAUAAAAGCCCGGGAAACGUAGCUCCCUCCGGGGAGUGUUAUAGUCCCUCGCCCAAUGCUCCCUGCCGGACCGUGGACCGCGCCUUCGUGCAAGGAUGCUGGCGUAAUGGUCGUUAGCG
rnacentral:rRNA from 2 species